AGAGUUUGAUCAUGGCUCAGAGCGAACGCUUGCGGCGCGCCUAAUACAUGCAAGUCGAACGAGGUAGCAAUACCAAGUGGCGCACGGGUGAGUAACGCGUGGAUAAUCUGCCCUUCAGUGGGGAAUAACCAUCCGAAAGGAUGGCUAAUACCGCAUGAGGCCACAGUUUCUAAGGAAACAGGGGUUAAAGAUUUAUCGCUGAAGGAUGAGUCUGCGUGGGAUUAGCUAGUUGGUGAGGUAACGGCUCACCAAGGCGACGAUCUCUAACUGGUCUGAGAGGAUGACCAGUCACACUGGAACUGAGACACGGUCCAGACUCCUACGGGAGGCAGCAGUAGGGAAUAUUGCGCAAUGGGCGAAAGCCUGACGCAGCGACGCCGCGUGAGUGAUGAAGGCCCUCGGGUUGUAAAGCUCUGUGGGGAGAGAAGAAUAUGUGCAGCCUAAUACGUUGCAUGAUGACGGUAUCUCCUUAGCAAGCACCGGCUAACUCUGUGCCAGCAGCCGCGGUAAUAC
rnacentral:rRNA from 1 species